UCUAUUAUUUUCUGGAAACAGCACUAAUAUUAAUAACCGUACCUUAAACCGACUCAGGUAGAUGGGUAGAAUAUACUAAGGCGUUCAAGAUAAGUAUACUGAAGGAACUCGGCAAAUUGGCUCUGUAACUUCGGGAUAAGGAGUGACGUAUUUGGGGAAACCCGAAUAAGUUGACACUAAAGAGGGAGAAACAACUGUUUAACAAAAACACAGGUCUUUGCUAAUUUGAGAAAAGAAGUAUAAAGACUGACACCUGCCCGGUGCUGGAAAGUUACGUAGAGAUGCUGUGGCAUCAAAAUUAAGCUCCAGUAAACGGCGGCUGUAACGCUGACGGUCCAAAGGAAGCG
rnacentral:rRNA from 1 species